AGUAGUCACAAACUAGGCAUCUGACAAAGGACUAAUGUCCAGACUCCAAAGGAACUGAAAGAAAUCAGCAAGAAGAAAAGGUGCCAUUUACCACCUUCCUGACUCAUUGGCCAGAACCAAUGUUAGUGGAAUUAACAUAUGCCCCACCCCAAGUGACUUCUAAAGGGCUAACUCACCACAAGGGAGUCAGAGCAGAUCUUGGACUGAGACCUACAGGACACAGCGACUCUUAAAUAGGUGGCUCACCAGGAGAAAGGCAUAGCAGAACCUGGACUGAGACCUACGGGAGACAGCAGGCAGACACACAGGAGGUUGGACGUCGAGAGGAGCACAUCAGUGCAAGAACACAUGGGUGGCUGCCACUUCUCUCCCUUUCCUGAGAGGGAAAAACUCUCGACGCUGAGAGGAAUCCACCAACAGGCACCAGCACUCUGGCAGGCCACCGACCAAUGGAUUGACAUAGAGUUUGGCUGGGGCAGCCAGAGGAGAGCCUGGGCCGCUGAAUAACCCGACUUCAGGGGAAAACUAUUCUCCCUUUUGGCUCCCCCAUCUGCUGAGAGCUACUUCCACUCAAUAAAACCUUGCACUCAUUCUCCAA
rnacentral:lncRNA from 1 species